rnacentral:rRNA from 1 species
UACGGAGGGUGCGAGCGUUGUUCGGAAUCACUGGGCGUAAAGGGCGUGUAGGCGGUCCGCUAAGUCUGAUGUGAAAGCCCGGGGCUCACCCCCGGAAGUGCAUUGGAAACUGGCGGACUCGAGUCCCGGAGAGGAGAGUGGAAUUCCUGGUGUAGCGGUGAAAUGCGUAGAUAUCAGGAGGAACACCAGCGGCGAAGGCGGCACUCUGGGCUGGAACUGACGCUGAGGAGCGAAAGCGUGGGUAGCAAACAGG